GGUCAAGUUAGGAAGGGCAUAUGGUGGAUGCCUUGGCAUCGGAGGGCGAAGAAGGACGCGGCAGGCUGCGAAAAUUCACGGGGAGCUGCGAGCGAGCGUAGAUCCGUGGGUAUCCGAAUGGGGCAACCCAUCCUGAGGAAAGUCAGGAUAUUGUAUGCUGAAUACAUAGGCAUAUAAGGCAAACCCAGGGAAGUGAAACAUCUCAGUACCUGGAGGAAGAGAAAUCAAUCGAGAUUCCCUUAGUAGCGGCGAGCGAAGGGGGAGAAGCCCAAACCCAGCCUACAACAGACUGUUCAACGUUCCGAGUUCUAAGUUCAAAGUUAAAGAAGAAAAGCAAUUAAAGCACUGAACGCAGAACCUUGAACAUUGAACUUUGUGUUGUAGGUUGGGGGUUGUAGGACCGCGUAAGUAGGACUGCUGCAGCAUAGCUGAAUGUUCUGGAAAGGACAUCCGGAGGGGGUGACAGGCCCGUAGGCGGAAUGUUGCAGGGGACGAAGCGGAAUCCUGAGUACCACAGGGCACGUGGAACCUUGUGGGAAGCUGGGGGGACCAUCCUCCAAGGCUAAAUACCAAUCUGAUGACCGAUAGUGCACAAGUACCGUGAGGGAAAGGUGAAAAGAACCCCGGUGAGGGGAGUGAAAUAGAACCUGAAACCGUAUGCCUACAAGCAAUCAAAGCCGUGCAUAGCACGGAAAUUCCAAUCAUCAAGCACCAAUAAUCAAAUAAAUUGUAAUGACCCAAAUUUCAAUAAGAAACCUAUUUGAAAUUUUGGAAAUUGGGAAUUGUUUAUUAUUUGGGAUUUGUAAUUUGGGAUUUGCGCGCUAUGCGCGGUGAUGGUGUGCCUUUUGAUUAAUGAGCCGGCGAGUUACUGGCUGUAGCGAGGUUAAGGGCUUAAGGCCUGGAGCCGUAGGGAAACCGAGUCUUAACAGGGCGCAUGAGUUACAGUCAGUAGACCCGAAGCCAGGUGAUCUACCCAUGGUCAGGGUGAAGCGAAGGUAAGACUUCGUGGAGGCCCGAACCGGUGUUUGUUGCAAAAAGCUCGGAUGAACUGUGGGUAGGGGUGAAAGGCUAAUCAAACCUGGUGAUAGCUGGUUCUCCCCGAAAUGUAUUUAGGUGCAGCCUGUAGAUAGUCGCAGGGGGGUAGGGCACUGGAUGGGCUAGGGUCUCGAAUGGGAUACCAAACCCAACCAAACCACGAAUACCCUGUUGAUGUUUCUAUGGAGUAAGACUACGGGUGCUAAGAUUCGUGGUCGAGAGGGAAACAGCCCAGACCGUCAGCUAAGGUCCCUAAGGGUGUGCUAAGUGGGAAAGGAUGUGGUGUUACUGAGACAGCCAGGAUGUUGGCUUAGAAGCAGCCAUCAUUUAAAGAAAGCGUAACAGCUCACUGGUCAAGUGACACUGCGCCGAAAAUCCAACGGGGCUCAAGCACACUACCGAAGCUACGGACUUCUCAGCAAUGAGGGGUGGUAGGGGAGCAUUCUGUUGGCCUGUGAAGGCGAGUCGUGAGGCUUGCUGGAGGGGACAGAAGAGAGUAUGCCGGCAUAAGUAGCGCAAAGGCUGAUGAAAAGUCAGCCCGCCGUAAACCUAAGGUUUCCUGGGGAAGGUAAAUCCGCCCAGGGUUAGUCGGACCUAAGGCGAGGCCGAAAGGCGUAGCCGAUGGAUGACUGGUUAAUAUUCCAGUACCGUCUUGUGUGCGUUUGACCGAAGGGGUGACGCAGGAGGAUAGUUCAAGCCUGGUGAUGGUUCAGGUCCAAGCACUUAAGCUGUAAAGGAGGCAAAUCCCCUUUACAUAAGGCUGAGGUGCGAUGGGCAAGCCCGCAAGGGUGAACUUGGAUGAUUCCACACUGACGAGAAAAGCCUCGCAGGGAGCACAUGGGAUGCCCGUACCGCAAACCGACACAGGUAGGUGGGUAGAGGAUACCAAGGCGGACGAGAUAACCCUCGCUAAGGAACUCGGCAAAAUAACCCCGUAACCUCGGGAGAAGGGGUCCCCGUACAGCGCAAGCUUCUACGGGGCGCAGUGAAUUGGCCCAGGCGACUGUUUACCAAAAACACAGGUGUCUGCGAACUUGAAAGAGGAAGUAUAGGCACUGACGCCUGCCCGGUGCCGGAAGGUUAAUAGGAGGGGUCAUUCGCAAGGAGAAGCCCUGAAUUGAAGCCCCGGUAAACGGCGGCCGUAACUAUAACGGUCCUAAGGUAGCGAAAUUCCUUGUCGGGUAAGUUCCGACCCGCAUGAAUGGCGUAACGAUCUGGGCGCUGUCUCGGCGAGGGGCUCGGUGAACUUGAGAUACCGGUGAAGACGCCGGUUACCUGCAACUAGACGGAAAGACCCCGUGCACCUUUACUAUAGCUUGGCAGUGAGCUUUGGUGAUGUAUGUGUAGGAUAGGUGGGAGGCUAUGAGAUGGAGACGCAAGUUUUCAUGGAGCCGACCUUGAAAUACCACCCUUACCUUACUGGGGCUCUAACCUAUCUCCCUGAACGGGGGAGGGGACACUGUCUGGUGGGUAGUUUGACUGGGGCGGUCGCCUCCCAAAAAGUAACGGAGGCGUCCAAAGGUCUCCUCAGGCUGGACGGAAACCAGCUGUUGAGUGCAAAGGCAUAAGGAGGCUUGACUGUGAGGCCAACAAGCCGAGCAGGUGGGAAACCAGGGCUUAGUGAUCCGGUGGCACUGAAUGGAAGGGCCAUCGCUCAACGGAUAAAAGGUACGCCGGGGAUAACAGGCUUAUCGGGUCCAAGAGUUCACAUCGACGACCCGGUUUGGCACCUCGAUGUCGACUCAUCGCAUCCUGGAGCUGAAGCAGGUUCCAAGGGUUGGGCUGUUCGCCCAUUAAAGCGGUACGAGAGUUGGGUUCAGAACGUCGUGAGACAGUUCGGUCCCUAUCUGUUGCAGGCGAAGGAGACUUGAGGGGAGCUGUCCUUAGUACGAGAGGACUGGGAUGGACAGACCUCUGGUGUUCCGGUUGUCAUGCCAGUGGCAAUGCCGGGUAGCUAUGUUUGGAUGGGAUAAACGCUGAAGGCAUCUAAGUGUGAAGCCCACCCCAAGAUUAGGUCUCCCAGGGAGCAAUCCCUCUGAAGGUCUGUGGUAGACUACCACGUCGAUAGGCUGGAAGUGUAAGUGUAGUGAUGCAUUGAGCUUACCAGUACUAAUAGACCGUGCGACUUGACCCC
rnacentral:rRNA from 1 species